UGGCCACAGGAGUUGUGUGAUGUGAGG
rnacentral:piRNA from 1 species